AAAUCCAAGUCGGCUGAAUGCGGCUUGUUUUGCAAGAGAGAGAAUCCGGUGAAAAUCCGGAACGGUCCCGCCGCUGUAAGGGAAGACGAAAUCGGUAAAUUUCAAAACCAGUGUGAACGAAAGUCCAUGCGAAGGAACCGAAAGUAGGACGAACCCCGAGUCAGAAGAACUGCAAAAACAACAGCUCCGCU
rfam:Fibrobacter sp. TWOS genome assembly, contig: Ga0136287_138